CAAAUAUUAGUUGAAAGUAAUGAAGCUAAUGGCUCUGUUUGCUUUAAAUUUCUUUAGAAUUGUAGUUUUGGAAUGGUUUUUAUUUUGGUGCAAAUGAGUAAUAGCAUAGUAGUGAUAGCAGAUAUGUUAUAUUAAGGAAGAUUCAUUUAUUGACUUAAAAAUAUAUUGUGUUUCAUUUUUAUAUGUAGAAUAAGAUAGUUCUAUGUUAUUGAUUUAUGGCAUUGGUUGUAUUCGGUCCUUCUUCACUCCAGAAUGUAGCAGUAAAAUAAGGAAGUAUACAAGUGCAUUUUUCUACUGGCAACAGAGACAGUGUGUUAUUUUUGCUAAAGGAAGGAUUUAGGACAAUUAAUUGGUUAUUUAAUUCAAUUAAAGUUCAGUUGGAUCAUACCGAAACAACCAGUUUCUACAAUGGUAACAUCUUUCCUGGGCUGUAUUCUUCAUUUGCUGCUUUUGUCUUCGCCUUGCAACAUUAUGCAAUUACUUUCCAACCAGUGAGUGGAAACAAGUGGAGAUUUAUUUAAAUUCUACUAAAACAAUAAAUUUUCUGCUAUGGAUUUAGUUUGCUUUUCACAUCUGCAAACUUUGGAACAUUACAA